rnacentral:rRNA from 1 species
GACGAACGCUGGCGGCGUGCUUAACACAUGCAAGUCGAGCGAGGCCCGCCCUUCGGGGCGGUGUCCUAGCGGCGAACGGGUGAGUAACACGUGGGCAACCUGCCCCCGGCUCUGGGAUAACUCCAAGAAAUUGGGGCUAAUACCGGAUAUGACCGCUGACCGCCUGGUCUGGUGGUGGAAAGAUUUAUCGGCUGGGGAUGGGCCCGCGGCCUAUCAGCUUGUUGGGGGGGUAGUGGCCUACCAAGGCGACGACGGGUAGCCGGCCUGAGAGGGUGACCGGCCACACUGGGACUGAGACACGGCCCAGACUCCUACGGGAGGCAGCAGUGGGGAAUAUUGCGCAAUGGGCGGAAGCCUGACGCAGCGACGCCGCGUGGGGGAUGACGGCCUUCGGGUUGUAAACCUCUUUCAGCAGGGACGAAGCGCAAGUGACGGUACCUGCAGAAGAAGCACCGGCCAACUACGUGCCAGCAGCCGCAGUAAAAC